GCCAGGUGUGGUGGCGCAUGCCUGUAAUCCCAGCAGCUUGGGAGGCUGAGGUGGGAGGAUUGAAAGUUCAAAGCCAGCCUCAGCAAAAGCAAGGUGCUAAGCAACACAGCGAUUCCCUGUCUCUA
rnacentral:sRNA from 1 species